rnacentral:rRNA from 1 species
UAGGGAAUCUUCGGCAAUGGGGGCAACCCUGACCGAGCAACGCCGCGUGAGUGAAGAAGGUUUUCGGAUCGUAAAGCUCUGUUGUAAGUCAAGAACGAGUGUGAGAGUGGAAAGUUCACACUGUGACGGUAGCCUACCAGAAAGGGACGGCUAACUACGUGCCAGCAGCCGCGGUAAUACGUAGGUCCCGAGCGUUGUCCGGAUUUAUUGGGCGUAAAGCGAGCGCAGGCGGUUUGAUAAGUCUGAAGUUAAAGGCUGUGGCUCAACCAUAGUUCGCUUUGGAAACUGUCAAACUUGAGUGCAGAAGGGGAGAGUGGAAUUCCAUGUGUAGCGGUGAAAUGCGUAGAUAUAUGGAGGAACACCGGUGGCGAAAGCGGCUCUCUGGUCUGUAACUGACGCUGAGGCUCGAAAGCGUGGGGAGCGAACAGGAUUAGAUACCCUGGUAGCCCACGCCGUAAACGAUGAGUGCUAGGUGUUGGAUCCUUUCCGGGAUUCAGUGCCGCAGCUAACGCAUUAAGCACUCCGCCUGGGGAGUACGACCGCAAGGUU